GACGAACGCUGGCGGCGCGCUUAACACAUGCAAGUCGAACGGAAAGGCCUGCUUUCCCUUGUGGAUUGCGGGUACUCGAGUGGCGAACGGGUGAGUAACACGUGAGUGAUCUGCCCCCAACUUGGGUAUAAGCCUGGGAAACUGGGUCUAAUUCCCGAUAGGACUGCAGGGUGGUGCCUGUGGUGGAAAACGAUUUUCUAGUGGUUGGGGAUGAGCUCGCGGCCUAUCAGCUUGUUGGUGGGGUAAUGGCCUACCAAGGCGGCGACGGGUAGCCGGCCUGGGAGGGUGGGCGGGCGCAGUGGGACUGAGAUACGGCCCAGACGCCUACGGGAGGCAGCAGUGGGGAAGCAUGCACAAUGGGCGGAGGCCUGAGGCAGCGACGCCGCGGGGGGGAUGACGGCCUUCGGGUUGUAAACUCCUGGCGACCGCGAGGAAGCCACCUGGUUGGAAGGGUGGUGACGGUAGUGGUAGAAGAAGCACCGGCUAACUACGUG
rnacentral:rRNA from 1 species